rnacentral:rRNA from 1 species
CACGUAGGGGGCGAGCGUUGUCCGGAUUUAUUGGGCGUAAAGAGCUCGUAGGUGGCUUAGUAAGUCGGGUGUGAAACCUCCAGGCUCAACCUGGAGACGCCACCCGAUACUGCUAUAGCUUGAGUCCGGUAGGGGAGCGUGGAAUUCCUAGUGUAGCGGUGAAAUGCGCAGAUAUCAGGAGGAACACCAGCGGCGAAGGCGGCGCUCUGGGCCGUAACUGACGCUGAGGAGCGAAAGCGUGGGGAGCGAACAGG